UUAACCUUUUCUCCCUCCACAAUCGUCAAAGACGCGCGUAAAUCCCAAUCGACGCCAUAACCACCCUUCUCUUCCUCUCUGCGAUGCGGUCAAAGCCAUGUUUCCGUAUCUGUUAUCACGGAUCGAACCUCGAUCUGGCUAUUAGGCAUGGAUCAUUGAAGGAUCUCUCCAAGGAUCGGUUUCGAUCGCGUUGAAUGGUUCUGGUUCGAGGCAUCUUAGAUCUGUUUUGGAUUUUCGACGAUUUAAAGAAUCUGAUCGUGUUUUCUUAGCAAGGGUUUUGGUUGCGCGGAGCUGAUGAUCGUUGAUUUUUCUUGUGGAUUGUGGCGGUGAAGGAUCUCUUCCGGUGGUUCUUGCGGGCAGAGGGUUUUCCGCGGCGGAAUUUGGCGGUAGAGGAUCUGGAUCUUUCUGGAAAUUAACAGUUUUAACACAUGGAUGCGCGAUCUUUGUUGUAUCAAUCAAUAAAAAGGUAUUAUAUGGAAUGUUAUGUGGAACUGAAUGGAGGUUAGGGUUUUGGGAGAAAGAUAUGUCUUAGGCGUAUUGAUGGAGCCUUAAAGGUAUAUGAUCUUGUUAGUUUGUUAUUUUUUCAUUCUUUUGUUACCAUCAGGCCUUUGCCAUGUCGGGUGCGCUUGCAUGGCAGGUCAAAAAAAAGAUAAUAAAAGAAGUUUUGUUUGUGUUUUAGGGGGAGAGUUUUUUUGGGGGUUUGUUACAUUUUUUAUGCCCCCAAGCUCUCUCCCUGUGUGCGUGUGUUGUGUCUCUUCUUUUCCUUUCUCUCUCUCUCUCUCUCUCUCUCUCUCUCUCUCUCUCUCUCUCCCCUCUUCUAUGCCCUUAUGAAUUCUAUCACACACGCCUUAAAUCCUUUCGCUAUGGAAGCAACUUGCAAUUAAAACUGGUUAAUCCAGUUGGAACCGGUACAAUACAUGUUCUCGUCUCCAAUAAGGUAACACGUUAUAAGGUACACUAUGCUAAACACUUAUUUAUUUCAUGUUUUAAAUUUUAAAUUCCUUAGAGAUUAUAUAUCUUAAAAGUUACUAUGCGUUCUAUUGUUCUUGUGAUAUAUCUCUCUGUAUAGCCUAAGUAAACAUGUUUCUUUAAAGCUUCCCUCUAUUUAAUUCAGUUUUAAUUUAAAUUUAAAUUCACAUUCUAGAUAGGAUGGAAAAUUAAAAAUCUUCUUUAAUUUUCAGAUAUUAUCAAACUAUUUUUAAUAGCUAAACAUCUACUUUUAUUUUUAAAUGAUUUAACAAUGAAAUUAUUUUUUUUACAAAUUAUACAUGUAUAAAAGUUUUAUUCUAUACCUCGCGUGGAUAGUGUAUUAUAAUGGAUCUCUUGCAAGUAUGUUAAUGUAAAAUAUGGUAUUGUAUUCCUAAAUCAACAUUCUAAUAAGAAUUAGUCUUUAACCCAAAGGCCGUAGAAGCACUAAAUAAUUCUAAUUAUUUAGUAAUUACCAAUCUCCUUUGCAAGAUAGCAUCAUCCUCAUUUGUAACAUCUAUCAUGACCACAAUUUAACUAUUGAUACGGAUUCCAUUGAUGCUGUACGCCCAAUAUUAUUUUUGAGCAAAUGCCAGUGUGUGUUCUAUUCCAUUGUUACAAUUUUAAAAGGAAUUUACCACAACAAAUAUGGAAUAUAUGUUACAUGAUUAACCUAAGUACAUAUUCGGAGUGCAUGCAGUAUAUAACCUUAUAUUUAAGCUUACUAAGUUCUUUUAAUUAUAAGAUAUGUUGAGAUAUUGAUGCGUUAUUUACUAGUUUCCGUAUAUAUAAUGUUGAAUAUGGAUUAUGGGGAGUGUGCCAAUGUAUCAUAGUUAUUUUUCACUAGUUGGCCGUAUCAUAUAUUAGGGAUAUAUGGUUCUUUUGUAAAGUCUGUGUAUGCAGCUGAGUUAGUGGUUCUUAAUGUACAUUUAAGGACUGUAUUCCAUGUUAGAGGCAUAACCCGAUUGUUGACUAUCAAGCAAAGAUAGUACGGGUGGAGCACCUUUUUCUCCAGGUGGUAUUUGAGCGAGGAUUCCCGGAGAUGGACUGUGUCUUCCUGAAGCCAUUAUUUUAGGAUGCGUUUACCGGAGUAAACAAGCAAUAUUCUGCGGAUGUGCUUUGGACGAAGGUUAUUUGAAGCCUUGCCAGAGGUGCCUUCCGAGAUUUGGAAGCUUUGCAAGGAUUCAUUUCAUGAACACCCAUUUCUAAGGUUAAUGUUCACUGGUUCUAGUUUGACAGCAAUUUCAAGCAAAUUUUGCAGUGAGUUUGCCUCUCACCAUAGCUUGGCGACAUCUCUUGCAUCAACAUUUGGCGAUUCUGCUGUAAAUAUAAAACCUUCGAGGAUAUUGUUGCUUAACACUUAACAGUACCCGAUACAUAUUUCAGAUGAUGCGCACCAGCGAUAUUGAUUCCUUUUGCUUGCUGCUUGCUGUACUUACAUUCAGAUAGCACACUCCGACGUUAUUGAAUCAUAUAUAAACCCCAGUCGUUAGCAUUUAAUCUCUUGCUCCUGCUAUAGUUUUGGGGUAUACGGUAUCAUCUCUGCUAAUUAUUUUCGUAAAGUUUAUUUCACCGUCAUUUGUUUGAAACUUAGUCUCAUAAUUUGUAAGUAUCCAUCUUAUAAGUUGGUUUCAGUAAGUCCUGUCGUGUCUGGUGUACAUUAUUCAACAAAGUGCCCCCAGUGUGCGAGGCUCUGCUUGUAGAUUGUAUUUCGUUUCUAGCUUUUGAUAACCAUUAAUUUUAUGAGGUAUUUUCAGAAGAGAA